UUUUAUUAGCACAAAAUAUUUAAAUAUAUAUUUUAAAAGUUAUUAAUCUUGUUAAAAACAGUUUGAUGAUUUUUAUUAAUCUUUUAAUUAAUUACUUAUAAAAUGUAGCACUAAAUAUGUUAUUUAUUUAGUAUCUGGUUUAAACGGUUCAAUAGCGAUUUAAGUUGUAAGUUGUUACCUGAUGAUGAUCCCGCACCUCUGAAUCUCUCG
rnacentral:lncRNA from 1 species